GGGGGUGUAUAGGUUUCGACUUGAAAAUGAAGUGUUAAUUGCAUGCGGAGGGCGUUGGCUGGCCUCCUAAAAAGCCAACAAAACAAUAAAUGCCGAACCUAAGGCUGAAUGCGAAAUUAUUAGCUUGUUUGACUCAGUAGAGGAAAGACUAGCUGCUUAAUUAGCAAAAGUUGUUAGCUAGAUAAUCUCUAGGUAACCCGGUAUCUGCGAGCUCCACCAGAGGCUUGCAAAAUACCGUCAUUUAUCUGGUUGGAACUUACUUUCUCUAAUUCUCAAGGAAGUUCGUUCGAGAUUUUUGAGAGUCAUUGGCUGCUAUAGAGGCUUCUAGCUAAGGGAGUCCAAUGUAAACAAUUCUAGAAGAUAAGCAUGUAGAGGUUAGCAGGGAGUUUGUCAAGGACGAGAGUUCGAGUCUCUCCACCUCCAUUA
rfam:Chlamydophila pneumoniae AR39, complete genome.